CUCGUUAGGACUGGAGGGAGGAAGCUGUUCCUAGAUUCAAAUCCGAUCUCCUCUUUUCGGCUGUGCACCUUAUUAAAAGGUAAAGUUUCCACGUUAACAGUAGGCUCAAUCCUAAAUUACCUUUUUGGUUUUUUUAAAGGUGAACUAUAACCCGGAUCUUCUGCGGAUCAGAUUGAAUCUAGCCAAGGGCUAUUUCUUUCUGGUCCUGGAGGGACGAAACACUACUGGUUCUCAUCCUCUACCUGUAAUCCGAGACUCGUUCAGACCCGAGACUCAUUCAGACCUGGGGACAACAGGUUGAGACUCAUUCAGACCUGGGGACAUCAGGUAGAGAGACUCAUUCAGACCUGGGGACAUCAGGUAGAGAGACUCAUUCAGACCUGGGGACAUCAGGUAGAGAGACUAAUUCAGACCUGGGGACAUCAGGUAGAGAGACUCAUUCAGACCUGGGGACAUCAGGUAGAGAGACUCAUUCAGACCUGGGACUAAUUCAGACCUGGGGACAUCAGGUAGAGAGACUCAUUCAGACCUGGGGACAUCAGGUAGAGAGACUCAUUCAGACCUGGGGACAUCAGGUAGAGAGACUCAUUCAGACCUGGGGACAUCAGGUAGAGAGACUCAUUCAGACCUG
rnacentral:lncRNA from 1 species